GGCCUACCAUGGUGGUAACGGGUAACGGGGUGUUAGGGCACGACACCGGAGAGGGAGCCUGAGAAACGGCUACCACAUCCAAGGAUGGCAGCAGGCGCGCAAAUUACCCAAUCCCGACACGGGGAGGUAGUGACAAUAAAUAACAAUACGGGGUUCUUUCGGAUCUCGUAAUUGGAAUGAGUACAAUUUAAAUCUCUUAACGAGGAACAAUUGGAGGGCAAGUCUGGUGCCAGCAGCCGCGGUAAUUCCAGCUCCAAUAGCGUAUAUUAAAGUUGUUGCAGUUAAAAAGCUCGUAGUUGAAUUUCGGGGUUAGUAAGUUGGUCAUGCCUUUGGUAUACACUGGCUUUACUGAUUCCUCCUUCUUGACGAACCGUGAUGUCAUUAAUUUGGUGCUGCGGGAAAUCAGGACUGUUACUUUGCAAAAAUUAGAGUGUUUAAAGCAGGCUAACGCUUGAAUACAUUAGCAUGGAAUAAUGAAAUAGGACGUUAAUCCCAUUUUGUUGGUUUCUAGGAUCGACGUAAUGAUUAAUAGGGAUAGUUGGGGGCAUUAGUAUUCAAUUGUCAGAGGUGAAAUUCUUGGAUUUAUUGAAGACUAACUACUGCGAAAGCAUUUGCCAAGGAUGUUUUCAUUAAUCAAGAACGAAAGUUAGGGGAUCGAAGACGAUCAGAUACCGUCGUAGUCUUAACCAUAAACUAUGCCGACUAGGGAUCGGAUGAUGUUAAUUCUUUAAUGACUCAUUCGGCGCCUUACG
rnacentral:rRNA from 1 species